AUUGAACGCUGGCGGCAGGCCUAACACAUGCAAGUCGAGCGGAUGAAGGGAGCUUGCUCCUGGAUUCAGCGGCGGACGGGUGAGUAAUGCCUAGGAAUCUGCCUGGUAGUGGGGGAUAACGUCCGGAAACGGGCGCUAAUACCGCAUACGUCCUGAGGGAGAAAGUGGGGGAUCUUCGGACCUCACGCUAUCAGAUGAGCCUAGGUCGGAUUAGCUAGUUGGUGGGGUAAAGGCCUACAAAGGCGACGAUCCGUAACUGGUCUGAGGGGAUGACCAGUCACACUGGAAGUGAGACACGGUCCAGACUCCGACGGGAGGCCGCAGUGGGGAAUAUUGGACAAUGGGCGAAAGCCUGAUCCAGCCAUGCCGCGUGUGUGAAGAAGGUCUUCGGAUUGUAAAGCACUUUAAGUUGGGAGGAAGGGCAGUAAGUUAAUACCUUGCUGUUUUGACGUUACCAACAGAAUAAGCACCGGCUAACUUCGUG
rnacentral:rRNA from 1 species